UCAAAGAUUUUUUUUUUUUUUUGGCCAAGAAAAUCAUUUCAUUUUUAGUUUUAAUUUCUCCCUGUAUCAGUCUCUCUCUCGAGCUUAAACUUGUGAUUGCUCCAUUAAGAUCCACACACACAUUGAAACAUUUUUUUUUUUUUUUUUGCGUAUAUACCACAUACAUUGUCAUCGAUGACAACGAUUUUGUUCUGUUCUGUUUUUUUUUGUUUCUUCAUUUUCUUCCCAUUCCUUUUUGUUGUUGUUUAUUGAAAUAUAAUAAUAAUACUACUUUUGUUCCUUGAUCCGCAUCUAUCCAUUUUAUCCAACAUACAAUUGAUCACAUUCAAUAAAACCAAGUGAUCAUCAUCAUCAUCAUCAUCAUUGUAAUUUUCAAAUGAAACUUGUUGUACAUAUUGUUGUUUCCGAUACAAAAAAAAAAAGAAAAAUGAGCAACACAGAAGAAAUUAUUAAUUUAUCAUUAUCAUCACCGGCGCCGUCGCCGUCGUCGUCGUCUGAACAGCAUCCUGUUGUCGAAAUAGAAUCGAAUCAUUCAAAUAUGGUAAUAAUACAAUCGAAUAAUAAUAAUAAUGAUGAUAAUGAUGAAAAAUUGCUUAAUAAUGACGAAAUAAAGGAUAAUUCUGAUGACCAAUCAUCAUCGUCAUCGUCAUCCACAUCCACCACAUCCACAUCCUCAUCAUCAUCAUCAUCAUCAUCAU